AAAAGAUUGUAAGCUUCCCAGCCUGGGUGACUGCAAAGGGAUGGGCCGGAAGGACAUCUGCACCUCCUUAAAUGAAAGCAUGAAGUCUCAGAAGGGUGUCCCCAGGUUCCUCCUGGUAUCCACAUGUACUUCUGAGGGCUCCCCCUGCCCUCAGGGAUUGUCGGCUGAUAUCUGUCUAUGAGAGCAAAGAGAAAAGAGUCAACAGAUGAGGGCUGUGUUUGGAAGCCCUGUGAGUAGGAACUCUCCAGAUGUGCUUCUGCCUUCUUGAGGCCUGACCUUCCUGUCUCUGAUGGCAUUAAGCUGACGCCACAGGCAUGCAGAAGUUGUCAGUAAACCAAUGAAACCCUAGGUGGAACGAGACAUGGAGGGCACCGGUCACAUUAGAUAUUAAGUUCAGCCUGUGGGUGUGGAUGCCUGAGUAACUUUCCCACUGACCCUCAUCACCUUUUAAAAGCAAACUGUUGAAAGGUGAGAGAGAGAUGGCAGAUGAUGUAAAAACCAUUAUACCAUGUUCACGUCAUGUGGAUCCUAUACCUCUGUAUUGAUGCUAAAGACUGAGAACGAAUGGGAACUGUAGACCCCAUCCCACCCCUACAGCCACAAACACAACAGAAGUCAGGUUACUUACAAGACAAUUCAGUUCUGAGAUGAAACAACACGGAUGGCAUUUUACAACAAUUCACUAUUCCUUGAAGAUUAAGAGCUGGUAGAAAUUUUAGGCUGAGCAGAAGGAUCUGUUUAGCAGAAACUUCACAAAUCUGAUUUAUGUUUUAUGAGGAAUUAAAUUACAGGGCUUUUUUUUUUUCCUUUUUAAAACUCUGGACCAUUAAAACCAACCAUUCAGCCA
rnacentral:lncRNA from 1 species